rnacentral:lncRNA from 1 species
CAAGACUUCUCCAAGGAGGUGGACUUGGAUCUCAGCCUUAAGAGAUGAGUAGAAGUUUGCCAAAGAUGGAGAGCAUCCCAAACAGAACAGAGAUGACCAGGUCAAGAACUUCACGGUGGCAAGUCCCUGGAUACCUGCUGGGCUGAGCAGAAGGAAGCGUCUCCCACCCCCUGCCCUGCUCAACUUCAAGUACUGGGAACCCCCAGCAACAGCAGUCCCACUGGCAGGCAGUGUCUGGAAUCAGUCCUGCUGACCCAAACCAGAUGUGAGCCAUAUUUGGGGCCACCAGCGCAGUGAAGAUCAGAGGACAUCAAAUAUCCACCUAUCGGAAUGAAAUGAACGAGAAGGCUUUGAGCCACCUGUUCCCCUCCAAGGAGUCACUGACUUUCCAAAUUU